AGAAGAUAAAGAAGGCUGUAAUUAUUUGAAAGCACAUGAAACCUAUUGUUCUUGGAGCUGAUGUUGCAGACAGCCAGGAGGUGGGGGGCAGGUCUAAGCUUCAUCUGAACUAUAGGCAGCAAUGAAAAGAAAUCAGCCCAGGCAUGCAAUAGGAUGUCCUAAAAAAUACAGGGAUGAGCCAUCAACUCGGGGGCCACUGCAACUACAAAGGAGUGCAACUAUCCUGUAGUAAGAAAAACCCUUGCAGCCUGUCUUUUCUGUGCUAUGAUUUCACAACUUGGCCAGCAAAACAAGAACAGACCAUUCAGACAUAUUAAAGAGAAAAUGCUGGG